GACGAACGCUGGCGGCGUGCUUAACACAUGCAAGUCGAACGGAAAGGCCCAGCUUGCUGGUACUCGAGGGGCGAAAGGGGGAGUAACACGGGGGGUAUUUUCCCCUGACCCCGGGAUAAACCCGGGAAACUGGGGCUUAAACCGGGUAUUGCCUUACCACCCAUGGUGUUUUGUUGAAAGGUUUUGCGGUUCAGGAUGGGCCCGCGGCCUAUCAGCUUGUUGGUGGGGUUAUGGCCUACCAAGGCGACGACGGGUAGCCGACCUGAGAGGGUGAUCGGCCACACUGGGACUGAGACACGGCCCAGACUCCUACGGGAGGCAGCAGUGGGGAAUAUUGCACAAUGGGCGCAAGCCUGAUGCAGCGACGCCGCGUGAGGGAUGACGGCCUUCGGGUUGUAAACCUCUUUCACCAGGGACGAAGCGUGAGUGACGGUACCUGGAGAAGAAGCACCGGCCAACUACGUG
rnacentral:rRNA from 1 species